rnacentral:ncRNA from 1 species
UGCUUGGAGAGUUUGAUCCUGGCUCAGAACGAACGCUGGCGGCAUGCUUAACACAUGCAAGUCGAACGAGAAAGCACCUUCGGGUGUGAGUAGAGUGGCGCACGGGUGAGUAACGCGUAGGUAAUCUGCCUCAUAGCGGGGGAUAACCAGGAGAAAUUCUGGCUAAUACCGCAUACGAUCUACGACAUGGAAAAAGUAGAUGAAAGAAUGCCUCUCCUUGGAAGCAUUUACUAUGAGAUGAGCCUGCGUUGCAUUAGCUUGUUGGUGGGGUAACGGCCUACCAAGGCGACGAUGCAUAGCUGGUCUGAGAGGACGAUCAGCCACACUGGAACUGAGACACGGUCCAGACUCCUACGGGAGGCAGCAGUGGGGAAUAUUGCGCAAUGGGCGAAAGCCUGACGCAGCAAUGCCGCGUGAGUGAGGAAGGCCUUCGGGUUGUAAAGCUCUGUCAGAUGGGAAGAAUUGCCAGAUAUCUAAUAGGUGUCUGGAGUGACGGUACCAUCAAAGGAAGCACCGGCUAACUUCGUGCCAGCAGCCGCGGUAAUACGAAGGGUGCAAGCGUUGUUCGGAUUU